AGCAAUAAUAUAAAGAGUCUCUUAAAGUACAGCAAAGACCUGGAGUGUAUUUUCUUCAGUCCUUGCUUUGAAUCCUCAGUGGUAAAUAUGAAAAAAAAAUCAGAAACAGAGACCAAUAGUGCAAAAACGUUUUAGGAAAGCUGGAUCACGAACAACAUAGAAGUAGAGAAGUGCCAACUCACAAUAUAAAGAGCUAUGCCCAGCUCUAGGUAAAACAGCAUACAGUGGUAUUUAAUACUCCCCACAUGUAGGAUAUAACUGGACACUUGGAGGUGUAUCCUCAAGAC